rnacentral:rRNA from 1 species
GAACGCUGGCGGCGUGCCUAAUACAUGCAAGUAGAACGCUGAAGAGAGGAGCUUGCUCUUCUUGGAUGAGUUGCGAACGGGUGAGUAACGCGUAGGUAACCUGCCUUGUAGCGGGGGAUAACUAUUGGAAACGAUAGCUAAUACCGCAUAACAAUGGAUGACACAUGUCAUUUAUUUGAAAGGGGCAAUUGCUCCACUACAAGAUGGACCUGCGUUGUAUUAGCUAGUAGGUGAGGUAAUGGCUCACCUAGGCGACGAUACAUAGCCGACCUGAGAGGGUGAUCGGCCACACUGGGACUGAGACACGGCCCAGACUCCUACGGGAGGCAGCAGUAGGGAAUCUUCGGCAAUGGGGGCAACCCUGACCGAGCAACGCCGCGUGAGUGAAGAAGGUUUUCGGAUCGUAAAGCUCUGUUGUAAGUCAAGAACGGGUGUGAGAGUGGAAAGUUCACACUGUGACGGUAGCUUACCAGAAAGGGACGGCUAACUACGUGCCAGCAGCCGCGGUAAUACGUAGGUCCCGAGCGUUGUCCGGAUUUAUUGGGCGUAAAGCGAGCGCAGGCGGUUUGAUAAGUCUGAAGUUAAAGGCUGUGGCUCAACCAUAGUUCGCUUUGGAAACUGUCAAACUUGAGUGCAGAAGGGGAGAGUGGAAUUCCAUGUGUAGCGGUGAAAUGCGUAGAUAUAUGGAGGAACACCGGUGGCGAAAGCGGCUCUCUGGUCUGUAACUGACGCUGAGGCUCGAAAGCGUGGGGAGCGAACAGGAUUAGAUACCCUGGUAGUCCACGCCGUAAACGAUGAGUGCUAGGUGUUGGAUCCUUUCCGGGAUUCAGUGCCGCAGCUAACGCAUUAAGCACUCCGCCUGGGGAGUACGACCGCAAGGUUGAAACUCAAAGGAAUUGACGGGGGCCCGCACAAGCGGUGGAGCAUGUGGUUUAAUUCGAAGCAACGCGAAGAACCUUACCAGGUCUUGACAUCCCGAUGCUAUUUCUAGAGAUAGAAAGUUACUUCGGUACAUCGGUGACAGGUGGUGCAUGGUUGUCGUCAGCUCGUGUCGUGAGAUGUUGGGUUAAGUCCCGCAACGAGCGCAACCCUUAUUGUUAGUUGCCAUCAUUCAGUUGGGCACUCUAGCGAGACUGCCGGUAAUAAACCGGAGGAAGGUGGGGAUGACGUCAAAUCAUCAUGCCCCUUAUGACCUGGGCUACACACGUGCUACAAUGGUUGGUACAACGAGUUGCGAGUCGGUGACGGCGAGCUAAUCUCUUAAAGCCAAUCUCAGUUCGGAUUGUAGGCUGCAACUCGCCUACAUGAAGUCGGAAUCGCUAGUAAUCGCGGAUCAGCACGCCGCGGUGAAUACGUUCCCGGGCCUUGUACACACCGCCCGUCACACCACGAGAGUUUGUAACACCCGAAGUCGGUGAGGUAACCUUUUGGAGCCAGCCGCCUAAGGUGGGACAGAUGAUUGGGGU